rnacentral:rRNA from 1 species
AGGAUGAACGCUGGCGGCGUGCCUAACACAUGCAAGUCGAACGUCCUGUCUCGCAAGAGGCAGGGAGUGGCGGACGGGUGAGUACCACGUGGGUCAUCUACCGUGAGGUGAGGAAUACCGGCGAGAAAUCGCCGACAAGACCGCAUAGGCUCGAUGCAAGUCGAGCAAAGCUCUUUCGAGAGAGGGAGCGCCACACGAGGAGCCUGCGCCCGAUUAGCUAGCUGGUGGAGUAACGGUUCACCAGGGCGACGAUCGGUAGCUGGUCUGAGAGGACGAUCAGCCACACUGGGAUUGAGAACGGCCCAGACUCCUACGGGGGGCAGCAGUGAGGAAUUUUCGUCAAUGGGGGCAACCCUGAACGAGCAACGCCGCGUGCAGGAAGAAGGUUUUCGGAUCGUAAACUGCUUUCUCGGGAAGAGAAUGGACGGUACCCGAGGAAUCAGCCCCGGCUAACUACGUGCCAGCAGCCGCGGU